GUCAUCUUCUUUAUAUUCUUAU
rnacentral:snRNA from 1 species